UCGGAAGCAAAGCAGGGUCGGGCCUGGUUAGUACUUGGGUAGGAGACUGCCUGGGAAUACCAGGUGCUGUAAGCUU
rnacentral:rRNA from 1 species